rnacentral:lncRNA from 1 species
GAUAAUUUAAUAUUGAUCAGUGUAUUGACGCGCAAGAGGGUUUUUAGUCAAAUAUCUUAUAAUACAAAAUUUAUUGUCUAAGCUAGUUUUGCAGUUUUGUUUUAAAUGAAAUUAUGCGUUUUAUAAAAAAAAAAUUAAAAAUUCAAAUCAUGUAUAUUAUAGUUUUAAAAAUUUUAUUAUUUAAUUAAUGGAUAUAAGAGCAUAUGAAGAAAAUAAAACGCGGAGUCUGAAAGUCGCCCCG